rnacentral:rRNA from 1 species
UGCAGUUAAAAAGCUCGUAGUUGAUAUUCGGGUAAAGAAGCUUCUUUAUUGAAGUUUUCUGAGCCUAGGUCUGUACUUGUACAGACCAGUUACUUUGAGAAAAUUAGAGCGCUUAAAGCAGUCAUUGAAUACGUUAGCAUGGAAUAACAGAAGGACGACAUUUCUUUUGUGGGAAUAUCGUAAUUGAUUAACAGGGACAGUCGGGGGCAUCAGUAUUCAGGAGCUAGAGGUGAAAUUCUUGGAUUUCCUGAAGACUAACUAAUGCGAAAGCAUUUGCCAAGGAUGUCUUCAUUAAUCAAGAACGAAAGUUAGGGGAUCGAAGACGAUCAGAUACCGUCGUAGUCUUAACAGUAAACUAUGCCGAUAGAGUGGAGGAUGGACUAUCAAAUCUAUUCUCCGCUCAAGCGAAAGCAGUUGGUUCUGGGGGGAGUAUGGUCGCAAGGCUGAAACUUAAAGGAAUUGACGGAAGGGCACCACCAGGAGUGGAGCCUGCGGCUUAAUUUGACUCAACACGGGGAAACUCACCAGGUCCAGACACAAUGAGGAUUGACAGAUUGAGAGUUCUUUCAUGAUUUUGUGGGUGGUGGUGCAUGGCCGUUCUUAGUUGGUGGAGUGAUUUGUCUGC